rnacentral:lncRNA from 1 species
CUUCCACGUGACCAUACAAACCAAGAUUUUUUAUGGUGCCCAGAUAUCACUAUAAAGUGUUGUACAUCCCUGUAUGGUUGCCAUCAGAAGAUGGAUGGCUAUAAAAUAAUGCAGGCCAUGUAUGAUACUCUAGCUGCUCAUAGAUCACCAUCUUAUUUAAUAGCCAUUCAUUUUUUAAUGAUAGCUAUUCGGUGCUGCUUCUCGACGAUAUCCAUGGCUUUUGUGACCUAAUCCUUAGUUAAGGGAGGACUACCCCCCCCAUGUACUUAUAAUCACCAAACGACCACAAUUCCUUUAUACCAAAACCUUAAUGAAAAUACGGGGA